CCGGAUUGGGUAAUCCUAGCUUGAGAGUCGAGCGGUCGCAGAGGUGACUUGCGACGUUGCUGACGAGCGGCGGACGGGUGAGUGUGCUUGGGAUAUGCCUUGAGGUGGGGGACAACAGUUGGAAACGACUGCAAAUACCGCAUAAUGUCUACGGACCAAAGGGGGCUUCGGCUCUCGCCUUUAGAUUGGCCCAAGUGGGAUUAGCUAGUUGGUGAGGUAAUGGCUCACCAAGGCAACGAUCCCUAGCUGGUUUGAGAGGAUGAUCAGCCACACUGGAACUGAGACACGGUCCAGACUCCUACGGGAGGCAGCAGUGGGGAAUAUUGCACAAUGGGCGAAAGCCUGAUGCAGCCAUGCCGCGUGUGUGAAGAAGGCCUUCGGGUUGUAAAGCACUUUCAGUCAGGAGGAAAGGGUGUGAGUUAAUACCUCAUAUCUGUGACGUUACUGACAGAAGAAGCACCGGCUAACUCCGUGCCAGCAGCCGCGGUAAUACGGAGGGUGCGAGCGUUAAUCGGAAUUACUGGGCGUAAAGCGUACGCAGGCGGUUUGUUAAGCGAGAUGUGAAAGCCCCGGGCUCAACCUGGGAACUGCAUUUCGAACUGGCAAACUAGAGUGUGAUAGAGGGUGGUAGAAUUUCAGGUGUAGCGGUGAAAUGCGUAGAGAUCUGAAGGAAUACCGAUGGCGAAGGCAGCCACCUGGGUCAACACUGACGCUCAUGUACGAAAGCGUGGGGAGCAAACGGGAUUAGAUACCCCGGUAGUCCACGCCGUAAACGAUGUCUACUAGAAGCUCGGAACCUCGGUUCUGUUUUUCAAAGCUAACGCAUUAAGUAGACCGCCUGGGGAGUACGGCCGCAAGGUUAAAACUCAAAUGAAUUGACGGGGGCCCGCACAAGCGGUGGAGCAUGUGGUUUAAUUCGAUGCAACGCGAAGAACCUUACCUACACUUGACAUACAGAGAACUUUCUAGAGAUAGAUUGGUGCCUUCGGGAACUCUGAUACAGGUGCUGCA
rnacentral:rRNA from 1 species